CGGUCACCCAGAGUACAAACAUACGAAGAAAGAAGCUAAGAAACUAAGAAAAAAGAGUAAAGAAAAGAUGCA
rnacentral:ribozyme from 16 species